rnacentral:rRNA from 1 species
GGUACUGUCAUUAUCUCCCUGGUAAAAGAACUUUACGACCCUAAGGCCUUCAUCACUCACGCGGCAUUGCUGGAUCAGGGUUGCCCCCAUUGGGCAAUAUUCCCCACUGCUGCCUCCCGUAGG